rnacentral:rRNA from 1 species
CUACGGGAUGCAGCAGUGAGGAAUUUUGCGCAAUGGGGGAAACCCUGACGCAGCAACGCCGUGUGAGUGAAGAAGGCCUUCGGGUCGUAAAGCUCUGUCAAGUGGGAAAAAAGUCUUUCGGUAAAUAGCCGGAAGGCCUGAUGGUACCACUAAAGGAAGCACCGGCUAACUCCGUGCCAGCAGCCGCGGUAAUACGGAGGGUGCUAGCGUUGUUCGGAAUUAUUGGGCGUAAAGAGCGUGUAGGCGGCUUGGUAAGUCAGAUGUGAAAGCCCUGGGCUCAACUCAGGAAGUGCAUUUGAUACUGCUUUGCUUGAGUAUGGGAGAGGAGAGUGGAAUUCCCAGUGUAGAGGUGAAAUUCGUAGAUAUUGGGAGGAACACCCGUGGCGAAGGCGACUCUCUGGACCAAUACUGACGCUGAGACGCGAAAGCGUGGGGAGCAAACAGGAUUAGAUACCCGCGUAGUC